ACAUGAACAUCAGAAUGAAAUAAUCUCUAUAUGACAAAGGAGUGGAAUUGAUGCUUGACUUCAUUGAGAGGAUUGAGAAGAUCUCACUCGAAUAAAGAUGUCUCUCUUUAAGCCUAUUGUUUAGUUACACUUGCAUUUUCAGUUUCUACACCAAGACUGAAUUCAAGAUGGAUCCAAAUACAAUAUCAGAACCACUUUCUUGUAUUGUAUGUUCUAAUAUGAAAUGAAUAACUGUAAGGACCAAAUUAAUUUAUCUAGUAAACUCUUGAAUUUGUAUAA